CAUGUCUAUAUGUUUGUUAUAUAUAUAGUCGGCUCUGCUCACUGAAUUUAUUUUAAAGAGCUGCGGUAACUUGACCGUGCGAAGGUAGCAUAAUCAAUUGCUCUUUAAUUGGGGGCUUGUAUGAACGAGUUGACGAGGGUAGGCCUGUUUAUAUUAUUAUUUAGAAUUUGACCUUUAAUUGAAAAGGAUUAAAUAUAGUAAGGGGGCGAUAAGACCCUAUAAAAUUUUAUAAUUAAUUAAUUUCUGUUAGAUUCUUUAAAUAACAUAAUUUAUAUAUUAUUGGGCUGGGGUGGCUCGAAUAUAAUUGUAACUGUUUUUGAUUUGUUAUAAUUAUCAUUAGAUUUAGAUCCCUCAGGGGAAUAAGAUUAAAUUACUUUAGGGAUAACAGCGUAAUAAUUUCUUAGAGUUGAUAUCGAUGAUAUUAGUUGCGACCUCGAUGUUGAAUUAAGGUUACACUUAGGGGCAGAUUUUUAAAUUGUGGGUCUGUUCGACCUAUAAAACCUUACAUGAUUUGAGUUCAAGCCGGUGUGAGCCAGGUUGGUUU
rnacentral:rRNA from 1 species